UAUUAAAAGAAAACAUUAAACAAUUCAAUAAUCACUGUACUUAUACAAGGGAAAACGGUGAGAAACCGUUACGGUCGCGCCACCGUGAUCGGGGACGAAACUUACAAAAGCCACUGGGUUUAACCUGGGAAGGCGUAAGGAGUAGAAUGAUCCGUAAGUCGGGAGACCUGUAUAAGUAUGAAAUAUAUG
rnacentral:ncRNA from 2 species